CCAACCGCCAAUGCCAUCCCCACCACCUCUCUCCAUGGCUUGACAGCUAUUUCAGCCUUCAUUCCCAUGAUCAUGAACUCAUAUCUCAUAUAUCACAAAUACGUGUUAGGUCAGUUGUGCAUUGCAGGCGAAGUAGAUAUCAAAUUUCCAUGCUUUUGCCACGCAUCUUUUGGAUGAUGAUGAUUCUACUUGAAACAGAUGGUGCAAUAUAAAAGAGCUACACACAUAGGCAAUAAUCAUGCCCCAAAUCGGCCCUCAACAAGCCAUGGUCAGCACGCGUUCUCGAGAAGCUAUGCCUGCGACAGGUCAGCCAGGCAGAAACGGCGCGCGGUUUGUACACCAGGAGGGGGACACUGCGCCGUCUACCCCGGUGGCAGAAGAGAGGGCCCCCGGAAACGGGACAAAUCGGCCCUCGCUUAUUCGGCAUCCUAUGUCGACAGAUCCUGUCACCAGGCAGGAACUCAAUGCUCUCCUAGAGCAGGUGAGUCUCCUUGCCCGAAGAAUUAUUUUGGUUUAGGGAACUUUUUGCUCGAUAUGAACUUAGUAUCAUGUCUUAGAGAACAAAAAUUGUAUGACUCCAUUUUAUGAGCGGAAUGCACUCCUUUAGUGAUUGUUGUGAGUGCCAGUUUUGUUAAAGGUAUAAUGUCUUAUUGUAUUAUUGAUCAGUAUGUCUGACGAGUCGUCACCUCCUUCUGGUGGCCACGAGGAGCGUGGCAUGUCGCGUCAGUCUACUGGCGCGGGUCCCCUAUGGGUGGGCCCUGAGCUCUACGACGGUCUUGAUCUGCACUACGACCUAGAGCACCACGUGACUUCCCGCCUUCACGCGAGGAGAGGGAUUACGGUUCGCGGCUAUGGCGCAGCAACGAGUGAGACCGUUUUUAGUUUCCUGAGCUCGGACACCCAGGCUUUGGUGAGGGCGAGCUCACUGUUUCCGGUGGUCGAGACCUUCUGGGAAAUACUGCGGCUUAACAUAUCCCUGUCCUUUCUGCGGUCGUUCAUGAGGUGGUGGUGGGAUACCACCAACACCUUCCAUUUUCCAUGGGGCGAGAUGACGAUCACUCCCGAAUACUACACGGCUUUGACGGGCUUGAGCUUUACAGGGAACCCUGUUCGUCUGCGGUCGGAUGGCCCAUCGCUGACUGUUGCUGAGGGUACCAGGCUCCUGGGUUCGUGGAUGGGUAAGAGAUUGCCUUCGUACCAGCCCCGUGGGAUACCUUUCGCUGACCUGAUGUGGGCUUUAGAGCAUGGGGUAGAGGAGUAGCCUUCGAGACAGGCUCGGCUGUUCUACCUCCAUUUUAUUACUUCCACUUUUCUAUCGGGUCCAACUGACACCUUUGACCCGAGGUGAAUAGGCAUGGUGGAUGACGUGUCUACACUAGGUGACUAUCGCUUGGGCGAUUUGGGCUAUGCGACGCUCGUCGGCCAGAUAGUUUGGCGGUGCGCGACUCGGACCCGAGUAGACGUCACUUUGUGAUUACAUUAGCGGGAGUGCCGCGUUUGAUCGAGCUGUGGGCUUUUGAGCACUUACCUUGGCUGGCUCCCCGAAAGGGGCAGAGGCCUUUGGAGUUUCCUGCCGGUCGUCGUUGGGGUUGGAAGAAGAAGCUGACAGUGCGUCCACCGCCCGAUACCGUGUGGGAUCUUAUUCGGGACGGGAACCCUGAGCAUGUGGUUUGGACCCCAUGGCUCUCUUUUAGGGGUACUCAUGAUUUGGUCAGGGAUAGUUAUGCCCUGAGCCAGAUGCGGGUCUUGUUCGUUGGCCGCCGGGACCUGUCUGGUACCUGGGAGAGCGGGUACGCAUGCAGACGGUCGGGGCUUUUUCGGUGCCUAGGCCUCCGCCUGCGACCAUGCUGUCUACUCGCUCGAUAGGCGAGUCGUGGAGGGUCCACUCGAGGACUGGCGUGCCGGCGACGGAGUUGGUGAUCGAGGGAGCUAGCUAUCAUCAGUUUAUCCAGGAUUCUCUUCGUCUCCCGCAGCCUGGCGCUGAGUGUCCUGACCCUUCGUUGGGGGGAUGGGUGCUUCCCGAUGCUCGGAUCUCGUAUAUCGGAGAGAGUGGAUCCGAGAUUGUGGAGACUUUCCCGGAAGACCGGGUUUUUCAUGCUCCGCUCCCCGAGGGAGUACAGGCGGUCCCGGCCCGUACGGCCAACGUGAUGGUGGGGGUGGUCAACCGGUUGAAGUCCGCGUUGGUUCGAGCCCGAUCUGCACUUUCUUGCAAGAGCCCCCACUCUACUCGGGUGAUGUGCCCUCUUUUUUUCUUUUGAUCUGUACCUUUUGUUUGGCUUUCUGUUACUCACUCUCUUUUUGUCUUUUCUUGUUGACGGGUGCUGGACGAGCCGGGGCCGACGACGCGGGUCCCUCGGGCGGGGGACACGGUCUUGAGAGAGAGAGAGAGAGCACGGCACUCGCCCCUACGGCAUCGCCGUUCCGACGCGGGGGUGAGUUCUUCCGGGGAGAGGUCCGAGCCGGAGCGUAGACGACGUUCCGUGUCGGUGGCCCGAGAGCCUAGCCCCGAGUUGCAGUCACAACCUCAUUUCUGGGGUGAUUCCGGCUGGGGGCCCUCAUACCACGGGGAGUGGAGUGGAUGGACCGGCGAGGCUUGGAGACAUGGAGCCGAUGACGAGUCUUAGGCUUACCUCCUAUUUUGUACAUAUUCAUUCUUGUAUUCCGCAUGUAUAUAUAUUUUUUUGCGAUUUUUGGUGCAAGAAUGUUUUAAGCCUUUCGUGGGUUUUGCUUUAACAUAUUAUAGUAAUAUUAGCUUUCUAAACCAACGACGAAUUUGGAAAAGGGAAAGAAUUUCGUAAAAAUAAU